AAGUCGUAACAAGGUUUCCGUAGGUGAACCUGCGGAAGGAUCAUUAAAGAGUUAGGGUCCUCUGGGCCCGACCUCCCAACCCUCUGUUUACCGAACCUCCGUUGCUUCGGCGGACCCGUCUCACGACCGCCGGAGGACCGCCCCUCGGGCGUCCUCUGGCCAGUGUCCGCCGAUAGCCAACCCUUCAAAACUUCUGAAUAAAUCAUGCUCUAUGUCUAAGUCUUAUGAUUCAAAUCAAUAAAGCAAAACUUUCAACAACGGAUCUCUUGGUUCUG
rnacentral:misc_RNA from 1 species